rnacentral:rRNA from 1 species
UAGUAUUUGGUCGUAGACCCGAAACCAGGUGAUCUACCCUUGGUCAGGUUGAAGUUCAGGUAACACUGAAUGGAGGACCGAACCGACUUACGUUGAAAAGUGAGCGGAUGAACUGAGGGUAGCGGAGAAAUUCCAAUCGAACCUGGAGAUAGCUGGUUCUCUCCGAAAUAGCUUUAGGGCUAGCCUCAAGUGAUGAUUAUUGGAGGUAGAGCACUGUUUGGACGAGGGGCCCCUCUCGGGUUACCGAAUUCAGACAAACUCCGAAUGCCAAUUAAUUUAACUUGGGAGUCAGAACAUGGGUGAUAAGGUCCGUGUUCGAAAGGGAAACAGCCCAGACCACCAGCUAAGGUCCCAAAAUAUAUGUUAAGUGGAAAAGGAUGUGGCGUUGCCCAGACAACUAGGAUGUUGGCUUAGAAGCAGCCAUCAUUUAAAGAGUGCGUAAUAGCUCACUAGUCGAGUGACACUGCGCCGAAAAUGUACCGGGGCUAAACAUAUUACCGAAGCUGUGGAUUGUCCUUUGGACAAUGGUAGGAGAGCGUUCUAAGGGCGUUGAAGCAUGAUCGUAAGGACAUGUGGAGCGCUUAGAAGUGAGAAUGCCGGUGUGAGUAGCGAAAGACGGGUGAGAAUCCCGUCCACCGAUUGACUAAGGUUUCCAGAGGAAGGCUCGUCCGCUCUGGGUUAGUCGGGUCCUAAGCUGAGGCCGACAGGCGUAGGCGAUGGAUAACAGGUUGAUAUUCCUGUACCACCUAUAAUCGUUUUAAUCGAUGGGGGGACGCAGUAGGAUAGGCGAAGCGUGCGAUUGGAUUGCACGUCUAAGCAGUAAGGCUGAGUAUUAGGCAAAUCCGGUACUCGUUAAGGCUGAGCUGUGAUGGGGAGAAGACAUUGUGUCUUCGAGUCGUU